UGAAGAGUUAAUGGGAACAAUAUAAAAAGGAACUAUAUUCUUGCUUAAAAAUGCUUCUGCCCCUGCUUGAGCAAAAACCACAGCUCUUGCAGGUACAAAGCUUGCCCACAGCCCUGCCGCCUUGCGAAAAAUAGGCUGUUCUGCAAAAGCCACGAGAUGUAUUCAAGAUUUCCCAGAAACUGCUGUUACCCACCCAAAACCACCCAGACCCCCAAGACUCAGCUAGGUGUCUGAACCCCGAGUAACCCCUCUACCCCACCCAUAUGAAACUGCCCUAUAAAAAGCCUAUAAGCUGGAGCUUCGGGGUCUUCAGUCCUCAUCUUGACUGUUGACCCGUGUGCACACGUACAAUAAACUGCUUCU